UGGGCGUUAAGUUGCAGGGUAUAGACCCGAAACCCGGUGAUCUAGCCAUGGGCAGGUUGAAGGUUGGGUAACACUAACUGGAGGACCGAACCGACUAAUGUUGAAAAAUUAGCGGAUGACCUGUGGCUGGGGGUGAAAGGCCAAUCAAACCGGGAGAUAGCUGGUUCUCCCCGAAAGCUAUUUAGGUAGCGCCUCGUGAAUUCAUCUCCGGGGGUAGAGCACUGUUUCGGCUAGGGGGCCAUCCCGGCUUACCAACCCGAUGCAAACUGCGAAUACCGGAGAAUGUUAUCACGGGAGACACACGGCGGGUGCUAACGUCCGUCGUGAAGAGGGAAACAACCCAGACCGCCAGCUAAGGUCCCAAAGUCAUGGUUAAGUGGGAAACGAUGUGGGAAGGCCCAGACAGCCAGGAUGUUGGCUUAGAAGCAGCCAUCAUUUAAAGAAAGCGUAAUAGCUCACUGGUCGAGUCGGCCUGCGCGGAAGAUGUAACGGGGCUAAACCAUGCACCGAAGCUGCGGCAGCGACGCUUAUGCGUUGUUGGGUAGGGGAGCGUUCUGUAAGCCUGCGAAGGUGGCCUGUGAGGGUUGCUGGAGGUAUCAGAAGUGCGAAUGCUGACAUAAGUAACGAUAAAGCGGGUGAAAAGCCCGCUCGCCGGAAGACCAAGGGUUCCUGUCCAACGUUAAUCGGGGCAGGGUGAGUCGACCCCUAAGGCGAGGCCGAAAGGCGUAGUCGAUGGGAAACGGGUUAAUAUUCCCGUACUUGGUGUUACUGCGAAGGGGGGACGGAGAAGGCUAUGUUGGCCGGGCGACGGUUGUCCCGGUUUAAGCGUGUAGGUGUGUGUUCCAGGUAAAUCCGGUUCACUUUAACACUGAGGCGUGACGACGAGGCACUACGGUGCUGAAGCAACAAAUGCCCUGCUUCCAGGAAAAGCCUCUAAGCAUCAGGUAACAUCAAAUCGUACCCCAAACCGACACAGGUGGUCAGGUAGAGAAUACCAAGGCGCUUGAGAGAACUCGGGUGAAGGAACUAGGCAAAAUGGUGCCGUAACUUCGGGAGAAGGCACGCUGACACGUAGGUGAAGUGAUUUACUCAUGGAGCUGAAGUCAGUCGAAGAUACCAGCUGGCUGCAACUGUUUAUUAAAAACACAGCACUGUGCAAACACGAAAGUGGACGUAUACGGUGUGACGCCUGCCCGGUGCCGGAAGGUUAAUUGAUGGGGUCAGCGCAAGCGAAGCUCCUGAUCGAAGCCCCGGUAAACGGCGGCCGUAACUAUAACGGUCCUAAGGUAGCGAAAUUCCUUGUCGGGUAAGUUCCGACCUGCACGAAUGGCGUAAUGAUGGCCAGGCUGUCUCCACCCGAGACUCAGUGAAAUUGAACUCGCUGUGAAGAUGCAGUGUACCCGCGGCAAGACGGAAAGACCCCGUGAACCUUUACUAUAGCUUGACACUGAACAUUGAGCCUUGAUGUGUAGGAUAGGUGGGAGGCUUUGAAGUGUGGACGCCAGUCUGCAUGGAGCCGACCUUGAAAUACCACCCUUUAAUGUUUGAUGUUCUAACGUGGACCCGUUACCCGGGUUGCGGACAGUGUCUGGUGGGUAGUUUGACUGGGGCGGUCUCCUCCUAAAGAGUAACGGAGGAGCACGAAGGUUGGCUAAUCCUGGUCGGACAUCAGGAGGUUAGUGCAAUGGCAUAAGCCAGCUUGACUGCGAGCGUGACGGCGCGAGCAGGUGCGAAAGCAGGUCAUAGUGAUCCGGUGGUUCUGAAUGGAAGGGCCAUCGCUCAACGGAUAAAAGGUACUCCGGGGAUAACAGGCUGAUACCGCCCAAGAGUUCAUAUCGACGGCGGUGUUUGGCACCUCGAUGUCGGCUCAUCACAUCCUGGGGCUGAAGUAGGUCCCAAGGGUAUGGCUGUUCGCCAUUUAAAGUGGUACGCGAGCUGGGUUUAGAACGUCGUGAGACAGUUCGGUCCCUAUCUGCCGUGGGCGCUGGAGAACUGAGGGGGGCUGCUCCUAGUACGAGAGGACCGGAGUGGACGCAUCACUGGUGUUCGGGUUGUCAUGCCAAUGGCACUGCCCGGUAGCUAAAUGCGGAAGAGAUAAGUGCUGAAAGCAUCUAAGCACGAAACUUGCCCCGA
rnacentral:rRNA from 1 species